rnacentral:rRNA from 1 species
AGCGAACGCUGGCGGCAGGCCUAACACAUGCAAGUCGAACGAACUCUUCGGAGUUAGUGGCGGACGGGUGAGUAACACGUGGGAACGUACCCCAAACUGAGGGAUAAACACCAGAAAUGGUGUCUAAUACCGCAUGUGCUCUUCGGAGUAAAGCUACGGCGGUUUGGGAACGGCCUGCGUCUGAUUAGAUUGUUGGAGAGGUAACGGCGCACCAAGACGACGAUCAGUAGCUGGUCUGAGAGGAUGAUCAGCCAGACUGGGACUGAGAACGGCCCAGACUCCUACGGGAGGCAGCAGUAGGGAAUUUUCCACAAUGGGCGAAAGCCUGAUGGAGCAACGCCGCGUGCAGGAUGAAUGCCUUCGGGUUGUAAACUGCUUUUAUAUGUGACGAAUAUGACGGUAGCAUAUGAAUAAGGAUCGGCUAACUCCGUGCCAGCCGCCGCCGUAA